UCCGCAGGGGGCUAUCGUUGUUCGGAAUUACUGGGCGUAAAGCGCACGUAGGCGGAUUAGUAAGUCAGGGGUGAAAUCCCGGGGCUCAACCUCGGAACUGCCUUUGAUACUGCUGAUCUCGAGUCCGGAAGAGGUGAGUGGAAUUCCUAGUGUAGAGGUGAAAUUCGUAGAUAUUAGGAAGAACGCCAGUGGCGAAGGCGGCUCACUGGUCCGGUACUGACGCUGAGGUGCGAAAGCGUGGGGAGCAAACAGG
rnacentral:rRNA from 1 species